CUGAGGGGUAAACCUUGGUCAGGCCAUUGUCACACGUUGAUCUGCAUAGGGCCACUUAAUUUCUCUCCUUGGCAUCCCCCCAAAGCAGACCCUGAGGCAAAGCCUUGGGUGACAGUCUUUCUUUGGGAGAUGAUGGCAGGAAGCACAUGGGAGUGAAUAGAGAAGUGCGACAGGGCAGGGAGACAUGUGGAGACAGGAUGCAUUGAUGAGACUGGAGCUCGAUUCCCCUGUGACCCUCCAGCAGACAGCGGGGAACAUGCCCCAGAUCUGUCCACUGAGGGGCAGGAAUGCUGGAGUGUUCAUCCUCACAUCCUAUCCCUCACUGGCUGAGGGGCCCUGGGGGAAUUCUCAGCUCAGCAAGCUGUCUCAUAAGACGCAGAGGAGGCUCUGGAGGGAGGAGAUCCAUGCUGGGGGACGGCAGGCAAACUCAGAGCCUCUCCCCUAAAAGAUGCUACAAAACUGGCCUUGAGCAUGGAGGAAGGGGCCAUGGACGUUCUCGAGAAGCUGGAAGAGGCAAGGAAUGGAUUCUCCCCUAGAGCCUCCAGAAGGAACCAGCUCUGCAGACACCUUGAUUUAAGCCUUGUAAGACCCAUUUUGGACUUCUGCCUCCAAAAGUGUUAGAGAAUAAAUUUGUGUUGAACCA